rnacentral:rRNA from 1 species
GAUGAACGCUAGCGGCAGGCCUAAUACAUGCAAGUCGGACGGGAUUCAGGAGCUUGCUUCUGAUGAGAGUGGCGCACGGGUGCGUAACACGUAUGUAACCUACCUUUAUCAGGGGGAUAGCCUCUCGAAAGAGAGAUUAAGCCCGCAUAAAAUCACAGCACAGCAUUGUGUAAUGAUCAAAUAUUUAUAGGAUAAAGAUGGGCAUGCGGAACAUUAGCUAGAUGGCGGGGUAACGGCCCACCAUGGCGACGAUGUUUAGGGGAUCUGAGAGGAUGGCCCCCCACACUGGUACUGAGACACGGACCAGACGACUACGGGAGGCAGCAGUAAGGAAUAUUGGUCAAUGGGCGGAAGCCUGAACCAGCCAUGCCGCGUGCAGGAAGACGGCCCUACGGGUUGUAAACUGCUUUUAUACGGGAAUAAACCCAGAUACGUGUAUCUGGCUGAAUGUACUGUAAGAAUAAGGAUCGGCUAACCCCGUG